UACGUAGGUGGCAAGCGUUGUCCGGAAUUAUUGGGCGUAAAGCGCGCGCAGGCGGUUUCUUAAGUCUGAUGUGAAAGCCCACGGCUCAACCGUGGAGGGUCAUUGGAAACUGGAGAACUUGAGUACAGAAGAGGAAAGCGGAAUUCCACGUGUAGCGGUGAAAUGCGUAGAGAUGUGGAGGAACACCAGUGGCGAAGGCGGCUUUCUGGUCUGUAACUGACGCUGAGGCGCGAAAGCGUGGGGAGCAAACAGG
rnacentral:rRNA from 1 species